rnacentral:snRNA from 1 species
AUUAUAUCUUUUGCAGUAA